rnacentral:rRNA from 1 species
UACGUAGGGUGCGAGCGUUAAUCGGAAUUACUGGGCGUAAAGCGUGCGCCGGCGGUUUUUCAAGUCUGAUGUGAAAGCCCCGGGCUUAACCUGGGAACUGCAUUCAAAACUGACAAGCUAGAGUAUGGUAGAGGGUGGUGGAAUUUCCUGUGUAGCGGUGAAAUGCGUAGAUAUAGGAAGGAACACCAGUGGCGAAGGCGACCACCUGGACUGAUACUGACACUGAGGUGCGAAAGCGUGGGGAGCAAACAGG